AAUCAGGGUCCUGAAGUUAACCUGGGGACACUGAGUGAAGGCUGUAAUUGCAAAGAUGUUUUCACAUGGGUGAAUUGGAAGCCCUAUGGAUGAAAAGCAAACGACGGAAUAGGGCCCUGGAUUGCUUGGCUGAAUGGAAGGGAAAAUGAAACAAGAGCUGAAGACUAUAGGAUGUCAACUGUGGAUACAACUCACAAGCUACCAUAUUGAUGUGACAUGAUGAAGUGGGAAGGAAAGCCAUCUGGAGUUUCACUGGUGAAUUGAUACAUCUUGCACUUAACAUUGUGUAUCCCCUGGACUUUGAUCAAAUGGACAUGGGCUUUCUGAUCUACUGCAGAGUGCCUGGAAAUUCAGGCUCCUAGGAGGAAGGAACUUGCAUUAUCUCAGGUGAGACUUUGGACUUGGACUUUUGGAUUAAUGCUGGAGUGAUAUAAGACUUUGGGGGACUGUUGGGAAGGCCUGAUUGUGUUUUGAAAUGUGAGAACAUGAGAUUUGAGAGGGUCCAGGGGUGGAAUGAUAUGGUUUGGCUGUGACCCCACCCAAAUCUCAUCUUGAAUUGUAAUCCCGAUAAUCCCACCUGUUGAGAAGGGGCCUGGUAAAUGAUGGGAUCAUGGAGGCAUUUUCCCCCAUGCUGUUCUCAUGAUAGUGAGUUCUCAGGAGAUCUGAUGGUUUUAUAAAUGGCAGUUUCCCCUAAGCUUUUCUCUCUCUUCUGCUGCCUUGUGAAGAGGUACUUGCUUCUCCUUCACCUUCCAUCAUGAUUGUAAGUUUCCUGAGGCCUCCCCAGCCAUGUGGAACUGUGAGUCAAUUAAACCUGUUUCCUUUAUAAAUAAGUCAGUCUCAGCUACUUCUUUAUAGCAGUGUGAGAAUGGAGUAAUAAACCAUCCAUGACAAUAUUCUUUGAUUUUUACCUGGUUCACUAAUUUUAACUUAGUUAUAAUUUUAAAUAAUUAUAAGUAAAGAUCCUUCCUGAUUUCCAGGUGAUAAACUGGGGCACAGAAUCGUUAUUCAGUCCAGAAAGAGGAAGAAAAAUAACCCAGGGGGAUGCCAGUCUGAGGCAGCCACUUCCAGAGACUGUGGGCCAGCUCUGAGAAAUGUCCAGAUUAGAUAAACUGUAUCUGGAAAGAUAAUCUUGUCCCAUGACUGCAACAGACCACUUGAAUUUACCUGCCUGGUUUAUUCAGAUUUUAUGCCUAGAAAUCCCCGGAAUACACCAGAAAAUCCCAAGUUGUUCUGAGACUGAGUACCUAAAGUUGCUGGGUCAAGAGAGUAUUUUUUUAAAUGAAAGACACUUGAACAUAUCUCUAUAUUAAGUGGUAGAGGCAGAAGAGAGAAAGCAAUUAAAGAUAGAGGAGAAACAAUAGCCACAAGCUAGAAACAACUCAACCAUCAUGAAAAUGCUUAAACAAAAACUGCUGCAUCCAUACAAUGGAAUACAACUCAGUAAUAAAAAGGCACAAUCAACUGCUGCUACCCACAAAAUGGAUGACUUGUAAAAUCAUUAUGCUGAGUAAAAAAGCCAGACACAAAACAGUACGUACUACAUAAGUACACUUACGUGAAAUUCUAGAAAAUGCAAACUAAUUUAUAGUGACAGAAAGGAGAUCAGUGGUUGUCUAAGGUUAGAAGCAGAGAGAAAGGAAUGAACAGCAAAGAGGCACAAGGAAACUUUUGGAGGUG
rnacentral:lncRNA from 10 species